rnacentral:miRNA from 1 species
AACUCCCUCACAACGGGCCAGCU